rnacentral:rRNA from 1 species
GUGCCAGCAGCCGCGGUAAUACGUAGGUGGCAAGCGUUAUCCGGAUUUACUGGGUGUAAAGGGCGUGUAGGCGGGAGAGCAAGUCAGCGGUAAAAAUUCGGGGCUCAACCCCGUCCGGCCGUUGAAACUGGGGGCCUUGAGUGGGCGAGAAGAAGGCGGAAUGCGUGGUGUAGCGGUGAAAUGCAUAGAUAUCACGCAGAACCCCGAUUGCGAAGGCAGCCUUCCGGCGCCCUACUGACGCUGAGGCACGAAAGUGCGGGGAUCGAACAG